GCAUAGCAGGAUUAUUUAAAAGGUGAUGAACCAGUGGGAUUCAGACCAGAAGAUUCAGUUCAAGCUCUGCAGUAAAAGUCAACCCUCAUACAGUGCUGGUGAAACUCUGAAGAAUCAUGAAGCUCCUGCUUGUGACUCUGGUUCUUUCCCUGCUUUUAGUGGGAGGUUCUGCUCUUCAAUGUUACAAGUCCAAUGCUUAUGAAAGUACAAAGACUGUUCAAACUUGCAGUGGUGGAGAAGACGCAUGCACUAGGCAAUCAAUGUUUAUGGCCACUGGUUAUUCAAGGUCAUGCGUCAAAAUGGCUGAAUGUUGGAACAAAAACUGCUGCCAGACCAACCUCUGCAACAGUUAAUCACGAAUACUGAAUCACACUUUUAAACUGAGAAACAUUCAGCUUUUACAUUGCAAAUGUAAAAUAAACAGUAGAAUCGUAGAAUAAAGAUCUGCAUGUA